UUCCAGUGUAGGGCUGGGCAAUAUAUCGAUAUUAUAUCUAUACCAUGAUAUGAGACUAGAUACCGUCUUAGAUUUUGGAUAUCGUAAUAUCGUGAUAUGACACAAGUGUUGUCUUGUGUUUUAAAGGCUGCAUUACAGUAAAG